rnacentral:misc_RNA from 1 species
GAUGAAGAACGUAGCGAAAUGCGAUAAGUAAUGUGAAUUGCAGAAUUCAGUGAAUCAUCGAAUCUUUGAACGCACAUUGCGCCCGCCAGCACUCUGGCGGGCAUGCCUGUUCGAGCGUCAUUUCAACCAUCAAGCCCCCAGGGGCUUGUGCUGGGGCCCUGCGGCUGCCCGCAGGCCCUGAAAACCAGUGGCGGGCUCGCUAGUCACACCGAGCGCAGUAGCACAUCUCGCUCAGGGCGUGCGGCGGGCUCCUGCCGUGAAACCCCCCACUGUAACCUCAAAGGUUGACCUCGGAUCAGGUAGGAAUACCCGCUGAACUUAAGCAUAUCAAUAAGCGGAGGA